UACGGGGGGUCCUAGCGUUGUUCGGAAUCACUGGGCGUAAAGCGUUUGUAGGUGGCUUUGUAAGUUGAAUGUGAAAGCCCAGGGCCUAACCCUGGAAGUGCAUUCAAUACUGCAAAGCUUGAGUAUGAGAGAGGAUGAUGGAAUACCUGGUGUAGUGGUGAAAUACGUAGAUAUCAGGUGGAACAUCGGCGGCGAAAGCGGUCGUCUGGCUCAAUACUGACACUGAAAAACGAAAGCGUGGGGAUCAAACAGG
rnacentral:rRNA from 1 species